rnacentral:rRNA from 1 species
UACGGAGGGUGCAAGCGUUAUCCGGAUUCACUGGGUUUAAAGGGUGCGUAGGUGGGUUUGUAAGUCAGUGGUGAAAUCUCCAAGCUUAACUUGGAAACUGCCGUUGACACUAUAAAUCUUGAAUGUUGUGGAGGUGAGCGGAAUAUGUCAUGUAGCGGUGAAAUGCUUAGAUAUGACAUAGAACACCAAUUGCGAAGGCAGCUCACUACACAAAGAUUGACACUGAGGCACGAAAGCGUGGGGAUCAAACAGG